rnacentral:rRNA from 1 species
GACGAACGCUGGCGGCGUGCUUAACACAUGCAAGUCGAGCGGUAAGGCCCUUUCGGGGGUACGACGAGCGGCGAACGGGUGAGUAACACGUGGGUGACCUGCCCUCAGCUCUGGGAUAAGCCUGGGAAACCGGGUCUAAUACUGGAUAUGACUCCAUGACGCAUGUUGUGGGGUGGAAAGCCUUGUGCGGCUGAGGAUGGGCCCGCGGCCUAUCAGCUUGUUGGUGGGGUGAUGGCCUACCAAGGCGACGACGGGUAGCCGGCCUGAGAGGGCGACCGGCCACACUGGGACUGAGACACGGCCCAGACUCCUACGGGAGGCAGCAGUGGGGAAUCUUGCGCAAUGGGCGAAAGCCUGACGCAGCGACGCCGCGUGAGGGAUGACGGCCCUGGUU